GCGGGGGUGGCCGAGCCAGGUCAAAGGUUAAAAGAGUUCCGAUCAUAGGCGCAGGACUGAGGAUCCUGUGGCGUAGGCCUGCGUGGGUUCAAAUCCCACCCCCCGCACCA
rnacentral:tRNA from 1 species